GUGACAGAGGGAGGGGUUGACUAGUGAGAGUGCGGGAGUGGGUGACUAGUGACAGAGGGAAGGAUGGGUUGACUAAUGACAGUCACCACCUCCCUCACUCUGUCACUAAUCACCAUCUCCCUCUGUCACUAGUCACCCCCUCCCUCAUUCUGUCACUAGUCACCCCCUCCCUCACUAGUCACA